GUUGCACAGCAUUCCCCACCCCUCCUUGCAGCUGCUAUCUGAUUGGUUGCAUUCUUUAAGGCCACACCCACCUCCACAACCCAAGACCAUAAUGGGGAAUUCGGCAUAACAACUGGGGCCGAUGGAUUCAUUCAGUGAAGGAUUCUUCAGGCUGAUCCAAACAACUCUUUUCAAUUGAUUCAUAAGAAUCAACUCAUUUGUUCAGACUACACAGAUCUAUGGCUGGGACUGGCAAACAUUCAGCAUGAUACACUAUAUUGCCAAAAGUAUUGGGACAAUCACUUCCAUGGCCACAGGUGUAUAAAAUCAAGCAAAUAGGCAUGCAGACUACUCCUAGAAACAUUUGUGAAAGAAUGGGUCGCUCUCAGGAGCUCAGUGAAUUCAAGCGUGGUACCGUGAUAGGUUGCCACCUGUGCAAUAAGUCUAUUCGUGAAAUCUCCUCACUACUAAAUAUUCCACGGUCAACUGUUAGUGGUAUCAUAACAAAGUGGAAGCAACUGGGAACAACAGCAACUCAGCCACGAAGUGGUAGGCCACGUAAAAUCACAGAGCGGGGUCAGCGCAUGCUGAGGCACACAGUGCGCAGAAGUCGCCAACUUUCUGCAGAGUCAAUAGCUACAGACCUCCAAACUUCAUGUGGUCUUCAGAUUAGCUCAAGAACAGUGCAUAGAGAGCUUCAUGGAAUGGGUUUCCAUGGCCGAGCAGCUGCAUCCAAGCCUUACAUCACCAAGUGCAAUGCAAAGCGUCAGAUGCAGUGAUGUAAAGCACGCCGCCACUGGACGCCACUGGACUGGAGCAGUUGGAGACGUGUUCUCUGGAGUGAUGAAUCACCCUUCUCUGUCUGGCAUUCUGAUAAAUGAGUCUGGGUUUGGCGGUUGCCAGGAGAACGGUACUUGCCUGACUGCAUUGUGCCAAGUGUAAAUUUGGUGGAGGGGGGAUUAUGGUGUGGGGUUGUUUUUCAGGGGUUGGGCUUGGCCCCUUAGUUCCAGUGAAAGGAACUCUUAAUGCUUCAGCAUACCAAGACAUUUUGAACAAUUUCAUGCUCAUAACUUUGUGGGAACAGUUUGGGGAUGGCCCCUUUAUGUUCCAACAUGACUGCGCACUAGUGCACAAAGCAAGGAUGAGACAUGGAUGAGCGAGUUUGGUGCUGAACGGAGUUGGACAUAGUGGUGUUUUAGAGAUGGAGUUCCCAUUUACACGCAUUAUUUGACUGACAGACGGUUGGAGUUAAAAAUCAUCAUUUGUGUUCUACUGAAGAAACAAAGUCACCUACAUCUUGGAUGCCCUGGGGGUCUAUAACGAGCCACAGUGCCAAUCAUCACGGUGGGUCACCGUCUCAUCCUCUCACCCUCCUCGACACGGCUCUAUCUCACAUGACAGAUGAGCAGGACGGCCACUGCUGUGUGAAACCACUGGACUUUUCCAUCAGUCUAGCGCCUUAUCAACACCCAGCGACAGCACGGCUGAAGCGAUUGCAUUUAUCCCAUUUAGAUAAGCCCAAGAUGCUGCCAUUCUCUGCGAGAGUGAAUUAGAGACAGCCUGCACUAU